AUCAAGAUUUUAAGUUGUUGUUGUUGUUAAAUGAACUGUUAAUAUAUAUGUUGGCCAUAAAGACCACUUAGUGUCUUUACAUUAUAUAUAUCUUUUUUUUUUUUGAGGAAGAUUAGCCCUGAGCUAACUGCUGCCAAUCCUCCUCUUUUUGCUGAGGAAGACUGGCCCUGAGCUAACAUCCAUGCCCAUCUUCCUCCACGUUAUAUGUAGGACACCUACCACAGCAUGGCGUGACAAGUGGCGCCAUGUCUGCACCCGGGAUGCGAACCGGCAAACCCCGGGCCGCCGAAAUGGAAUGUGCACACCUAACCGCUGCACCAUCGGGCCGGUACCUACAUUACAUAUUUUGAACUGCUCAAAAACGACAGAAAAUUUGGCUCAUGCAUCGUACCUAUGUGAAAUGGGAAUCAGAUGACAGUGGUUCUGUGAUUCUGAUGGAAUGCUCCGUGAAAUCAGAGCCAAGUUGUUGAGGAUGCCAGUGGAGUCUGGGGGAGUUUGAGGCAUCCUGCAGGGCUUGUGCGGAGGGUGCUAGAGCCUACAAAUUGUUGCGGAUUUCAUCCCGGAUGGUUUACUGAGUGCUUUGGGAUGCCUGAGGUGAAAAUUACAGCAAUUUUAAGAGUCUGACACACUUUCCAGCUGAUAGCACUAAAAACAUGGCUUGUUGCCUCUCUCCUUUUCUUGUUUGCUUCUUUGAAUGAAGAUGGCAGAAAUGCUCUGUAUGAACUAUUACUCAUUAUGUGAAUUUUUAUGAAUUACACUAAUUUAUCUUUUAAAAAUCCAUUUGUUUUUUCAUUCUCUGUGAACAACUUAUACAAUGGAGCAGAUCCACCAUAUUUGUCAAAGUUAUUAGAGCCCUGGGUUUUUAAUUACCAGUUUGAACCCCCAGCCCUUCUGGUAAAAUGUGGACUGCAUACUGAAGGGGAAAAAAAUGAAAAAAGAAAUAAUAGAUUAUGCAGUAUGCAAAGAGGCUAUCAGUGACUCGUUCUCAUCUAAGACAACAUUUAAUGCAAUGGUAGCUGCUCUGGACUCCUUAUCCCUUAUAUUUUGUUUUAUUUGGGGGGGAAAGGGGUUCCGAUGUUACCAGCCAGUACAAUAAAUUGCAACCUCAGAUGACA
rnacentral:lncRNA from 1 species